rnacentral:rRNA from 1 species
UUCAGGUUUUUUGCUAUGAUUUUCUGAGGAGCAACAGGCGAGCUGGUAUAAAGCUAUGACCCGGAGUCCUCCGAAUGGGGCAACCCGGUAGAUUAAUCAUCUACCAUUAUAUGCUGAAUACAUAGGCAUAUAAAGCGACACCUGCUGAACUGAAACAUCUUAGUAAGCAGAGGAAAAGAAAUCAAAGAGAUUCCCUGAGUAGCGGCGAGCGAAAGGGGAUUAGACCAAACCACGUUUUUAAUGUGGGGUUGUAGGGUCGAUAACAUGGGAUCUUAAGUUUUAGUUGAAUACUUCUGGAAAGUAGAACGACACAGGGUGAUAGUCCCGUAAACGAAAAAACAAGAGACUCUAUUCGAUACCUGAGUAGGGCUAGACACGUGAAACCUAGUCUGAAUCUGGGGAGACCACUCUCCAAGUCUAAAUACUAGUCAAUGACCUAUAGUGAACCAGUACUGUGAAGGAAAGGUGAAAAGAACCCUUGUUAAGGGAGUGAAAUAGAACCUGAAACCAAUAGCUUAUAAGCGGUCGAAGACCUAUUAGCUUUUUCGAAAGCAAUGGUUGACGGCGUGCCUUUGUGAGGGGGGGCCCAAAAAUUCGGUUUUUUUUU